GGAAGCGUGCCCGAAAGAUAAGGACCUCCUUGAUAGGGAGGAUUAUAGGGGCUCAAACCCCCUCACUUCCUUAGA
rnacentral:tRNA from 1 species